AAUGGGGAUAUAGGUACGGUAGCAGAGCGGCUACCUUUAACGAACGCUAGCAAAGCUUUCCCUUACCAAUGGCUCAUGGACUUAACCCUUCCCCUAUGGGCUUUUAAGUAUGCUACAACCUAAUCUAUCAGUUAUGAUAUCAAUAUAGUAUUAAUAAUCUCAGCCAUUCGGUAUACGGUUCAGAUAAAGCCAAUUUUGGUUUGGAAAGAAUUGCUUUACAUGAGUCACAGGGUGGCGGCCCGCAUCGGCCUUCUCAAAAGGUUCCGAUAUUGAUUAUGACCAAUUUAAGAGGGCUAUCGAUUAGAUUUAAAGAACUUGCUUAAGAUAGUAUCUGAUUGUACGACUCUCAACAAAUAUGUUAUUAUUCAAUUUAGUAAGCAUCAAGUUAUAAACUCUUUCGAAGAUUUACGUAUGUCAUUACAGCAUCUUCAAAGCGUUUGCAAAUUAUUUUCUAAGCAGGAUGAAGUGGUGUCCGUUAAACGAUGUUUGCCCACAAGAGACGCGGGCCAUGGGUUAUCAUUCGGUUAUCAGCAGACAUUUUCGUAAACGCUAGCCUUCGCGCAACGAUCGCACUGCGAAUCGAACCUGCAAAUAGCAGAUAUCGAAGACGACAAGAUCCAUCUAAACAUUAUCGCACCAGAGAAAUGCCGUCACUCCUACAGUUUGUGAUAACUCGAUAACCUGUUCCUGAUUAGAUCUGGCGAAGAAGACAUCACCUCAAACAUCGCACGCGUACCGAAACCAUAUUAGCGAUAGAUUGAAGGAAGUCGGGAGAGCUGUGAACGAUUAAAACUAAACUCAAUAAAAUUAAUGUGCGUUGUCAGCUUUCCGUUGGACAUUCGAUUAAUUACUGUUGAGCCGGAUUGAGUUGGGUAUCAGUAGCACCUGGCACUGCACCAGAAUGUUCCCAAAAUCAGAUGACCAGCGCGAGGCUGUCGCCCGAUUGUAAGGGCUGUUACUACCCUAUGUAGAAUUUAGGUUUCGUUCCAGAUACUGGGUGCAAGAUGAGAGCAAUUCGCUGCUAACGUCGAGUUAGAACUUUCUGAGAACAAACGAAUUGUUGGGUCGGUAAAUUAUAAAGCCUUCAAGUUCGUCAUGUCUGAGAACCUCCACACGGCUCCUCGUGCUUUUCACAUGCAAACAGCUAGCUACUCAGAGUAGAUUAAGGGAGGUACAUGUGCUAGGUCACCCUUUACUGUUUAAUACUUGCGAGCCAGUGUUUUGUGUGGUAUCGCUGUGGCCCAUCUCUCAGUUUUGACUUCAGCUUAUUCAAACCCAUUUCUUAAAUCCCACGAAUUUGAUUCUAAAAGUCAUUUGGCGCUCUUCAACAGCGCUCUAGCCAACAGCUAUGAUGGCUAGAGCAUCUUAUAUAACAAUAACUGGUUAAGGUUGCUCAGGGUAGGUAAACAAAGAUCAAAUUUGGUUAGCUGUCUAAAAGUAAUUAUGCUCUGGCUCCCUAGGCCGCACCUAGUCGCAUUAGACUCGCUUCGCGUGUAACCCUGUAGUCAUAAGGUUUUUGAGUGAUUCUGUCUCUUAGAGUUACCAAUUUUUCGUUCAUCACAUUGAAAUUUGUUCAUAAUAAGACGCUGUAGCUGGUACAGACUACACAUAAUAAACAAAUAGAUAAAAAAAAUAUUUACUCAUGUAAGUUUAUUCGCGUAUGAUAUUAUGAUUUUUCAUCUGCGCGAAGGAGCUAUGCUACGCAACUACUUUAGCCUCUUUAAAGUGACUAAGCAUAUAUAU
rnacentral:lncRNA from 1 species